rnacentral:rRNA from 1 species
GCGACGGGAAACUGUAGCGGAGGAUUGUUCGAUGAAAAGCGAAGGUAGGUGAAAGCAGGAGAAUGGGUCUCAACAACCCUGAACGUUGGGAGUGUUAAUUGGUCAAGCUACAAAGGG